CCAUGAUUUAAUUAAACUUUUGUUUGUUUUGUUUGUUUUUUUUUUUUAUAAUUUUUUUCUGCUUGCAAGUGCAAUUAGAUCACCAAGCUUCACCUUCUUCUCCUCCUCUUUCAUGGCUUCAAAGGUGUCAUAAGGAGGACACACAGAUUAUUGCUGACAUUGAGAAUAUCAGCACAUGUAAUUGGAACUCAUCUUCAAUCUGCAAUGUCACCACCGGUUCAUUCUUUUUCGUUUUGGGGAUACCAGUGAGUGAAUUGGUGCGUUGGAAAGGGAACAAGGAAUCCAGCUGGAAAAGAUGAAAGUUGUUUGGUUGUGAUGGUGUGCAGGUACGUCAAGGGCCUUGGAAAAGCUUCGGUAGUGACCAAUUGCUUUGCUUUUGGAAGGAGCCAUUUCUUUUCUUAUUUGCUUCAUGGACAAUGAUCAUGACUCAUGAACAGGGCAUGGCACAUCCGAAAAGAGAGCUGCGGGCGCAGGAAAGAGCUUUGAUGGAGCCUUGUUUUCGUACUGCAUAGAGCUUCGUUGACACUCUGUUUGCUGCUGCAAAGCAUUUGUUGGUACUCAACAAGGCUUAGAAAGAAAUUCCACCGAAUUGGUCAUACGCUCAUUAAUACACAUAUAUCGUAAAUGAGAUUGCGACUGCUUGGGGACCUCCAUAGCUCCAUGGUGACACAAGUAAAAGAGAUGCUGCAUAGAAAAAGAAAGUAGCACGGGUAGAUCAGAGAGGCCCUAACCUUCGUGUUGUCUGCUUGUUGGCUCCUUGCUUCGAUCAAAAUUGCUGAAAACUUCUUCUCUCCUCUGCAGCAAGGCUUCACCUGUUUUUUGAUGUAUUUCCUGUGUGUUUUGCUCUAGCACUAUGCUCCUUUUUAUAGAGUGUAUUGUGAAAGCUGAGCUAUGAAUCAAAGACGAAUUCAGGAAGAAGAAGAUGAGAGAACGGGAGAGGGAGAAAACGUGAAAAAUGAGAGGACUACAUUGUUAUUG